rnacentral:lncRNA from 1 species
GGGUUGAGAGUUCGAGAGAGAGGGUUACAAAGAGUUACAAUCUCUCAGACAAGUGAAACAACAUGUUACACCAAUCGCGCAAAGUGAGCAUGGGUUGCUCAUGCUAACACCUCCUUGACCAGAGCAUAACGUCAUCUGCCGCAGAGCGAGCGGUAAGGUGAAUAGGUUGUAGGUCCCCUCGGAAGACUUUGGCAUUUCUUCUCUUCCAGAUGUUCCAUAGGACAGCAAUGAUGACUAUGAAGCGGGUCUUGUUGGAGAGUUGAGGGCCCCAUAGAUUACGCAUAUCCGUCGGUGUUGAGGCCGACAAGGACGUCAGCUCCUGUCAGAGGGGGCGAGUUGGAACCCUUUAGACAAGGGGUUUCAUGUAAGUUGGGAAGUCGUACCAAAGUAACUACAUAGUUCAAACCAAUGGUUAACUGGUGGGUUUUCAAGUGUCAUCUCUUCAUCCCGAGUAGAAGUUGGGUUUUAGCCACCAGCAUACCUGAGUCGCAACAUCGUAGGAUUUACCAUAAAUCAUGACACUUCAUUUAACACUUUCAUAUUUGCCGAUCCAGCAACGACCACUAGUAUGGAUUAAGUACAAACCCAACAUAGGAAAUUAAAUAUAGCUUUCGAUCCAGCAUACACCACUAGUCUGGAUCAAGUACAGGCCCAUCAUAGGCGAUUACACGGAAAUUCCUAUCCGGAAAGGGCCAAUUGUCUGGAUUAAAUACAAGCCCAGCAUGGAAACAUAAAUACAUACAACUAACUGAUUCGAAUCACCCAAGAUAGGAUGUGGCACGGCGAACUCAUGUUGUAGCUUGCAGGGAAAGAUCUAUCUUGUUCUCAUGGUACUGAGAAAUGUAGAUGUGGCCGUGAUCGAUCUUGUCCUCGCGAUUGCAGAUUUUCUUAUUUAUGUAUAUAUAGCCAUAUACGUAUACGGCUCUUCUUAGCCCAUCAUCUUCUCGAUGAGCAGCAGAUCAGCAUACGGCUGAAAAUGACAAAUUGCCGACCCUCCCGGGUGUUCACCGAGAGCCUUGAACGCUGGGUGUGACGGGCUCCAGUUCCUAGUAUCACGGUGGCACAUGGCCACCAUGUCAAUUUUGGUGUCGUCACGGGAGCUACCCUGGAGCUGGACCACGUAUGCCUGUGAGUGACUUGUGCUAUGACACAAGUACAGUGCGAACGGGAAUGGUUUUAUGUGGCAAGCCACAAAGCGGGAACUACCGAGUUGAUGCCUGGCGCGGACCAUGUAAUCCUGAUGCAAAAGCCCGACACUUGGGAGGGCCGAAGCCACCACCGAUACGUGCCGAGUUUGCAGCAUCUUCAUAGCGGUCUCUACAACAGCUUCUAGGGAAGCUGCGCAAUGUUUGUUCUCACCCUGAAUUGGCGGGUCUGCACAAUUCAGAAUUGUGUUCUUCAUCUCGGCAGCCUCAUGGGAGGUCUUUGAGAUGUUAAAUUUAUCUAGCAUGCUGUUGAGAUCUUGAAAAGAUAUUUUCUCUUCAACACUUGAAGGAAGGAAUGGUGCCGGCAGUGAGGACGGCAUUGCAACAGUCAUCACUUUGCCGACGGUUAUGUCUGCUUCGUGGAAGAAAACACCGGCCACAGCAGCUGGC